UUUUUUAAUAUGUAGGUCAUUGUCAGAUUGUGAAUAGCGGCUGUAGAGAGUGUCUUUCGGCAUGUGUGUCACUGUGUCAUGUUUCACACUGUGUUUAACAAUGAGUGUGUGUGUGUGUGUGUGUGUGUGUGUGUGUGUGUGUGUGUGUGUGUGUGUGUGUGUGUGUGUGUGAGAGAGAGAGAGAGUCCCUUAUUGUCGAGUCAUCUCCCACGGUCACAUGCUUGUCAGAGGGCUAGAGGAGGAAACCCAAUCGAGGGGAAUGGAAGUUGGGGGAGGGUUUGAAACAUUAGUUGGUACUCAAUGGUUGCGAGUGUAGAGUGUUGGUGUGUGUCAGGGCAGAGUGUGUGCUUGUGUUAGGGGGUGUGCAGAGCCAAGCCAGUAAUACAGAACCAACCAGUCUCCCUCGCUCUCUCUUGCUCUGCUUCUCUCUUCAUCCCUUACACACACACCCGGCCUCUUCCUCUCCCUUACACACACAAUCCCUCUCCCUCUCUCACACACUCCCUCUCCCUCUCACACACACUCCCUCUCCCUCUCUCACACACACUCCCUCUCCCUCUCCCUUACAUUCACCACUCCCCUCUCCCUCUUCUCUGUGUUCUCUCCUUGCCUGUCUGAAUUCACAGUGGGUUUUGACUCUGCACUACGAUGUCUGCAGUUGCAGGAAGCUCUCUGCAGUGAGCACGCCGAGGUUAUGCUUCUCAAAAGUCCUCUGUUGAGUCAGAAACAGAGUGAAAAGGGCUAAGGACUGCGUCACAAUAUACUGCCCUGACCUCGUGACACCGCACGGAGCCAUGAGUAACCCUAAGGAUGCCAGCGACACCAAUGUCGCCGCCAACACCAAGACCGCGGUCACGUCAGCCGUGAGUUUAAACUUUACAUCGAUACACAUGAGCUAUUCUAGACCAGGGUUUCCCCAAACUCGGUCCUCGGUGACCCCAAGGGGUUCACGUUUUGGUUUUUGACCUAGCACUACACAGCUGACUUAAAUAAUCAACUAAUCAUCACGCUUUGAUCAUUUGAAUUAGCUGUAUAAUGGUAGGUCACAAAACAAAACAUGCACCCCUUGUGGGUUUAAUUUUUAUUUUUUUUACCUUUAUUUAACUAGGCAAGUCAGUUAAGAACAAAUUAUUAUUUUCAAUGACUGCCUAGGAACAGUGGGUUAACUGCCUGUUCAGGGGCAGAAUGACAGAGUUGUACCUUGUCAGCUCGGGGACACUAGGCUACCCUGCCGCCCCGGUUCCGAGGACCGAGUUUGGGAAACGGUGUUCUAUACACACUCUCUAAACACACAUUAUUAGACAUUUAUUUAUGUAUUUAUUUGUUGGUGUUUUACUUAUUGGUCAGGUAAUGCUUACAUUGCACCAGUAGUACCUGUAAAGCCAAUUUCAUGCUCUAUUACAAAUGAAUCAAAAACUAAAAAACGUUUCUUGAGACAGUGCUGCUGUGUCGUGACCCCAACGAGUAAAUGUGGUUGAAAUGACAUCAUUACAACCAUUAUGACAUUUCAAACAAUUUUGCUCAGUUUUGCCUGCUGGGGACAUGAGAUAAACCCCACUAACUAAGACCCAGUUUUGCCUGCUGGGGACAUGAGCUAAACCCCGCUAACUAAGACCCAGUUUUGCCUGCUGGGACAUGAGCUAAACCCCGCUAACUAAGACCCAGUUUUGCCUGCUGGGACAUGAGCUAAACCCCGCUAACUAAGACCCAGUUUUGCCUGCUGGGGACAUGAGCUAAACCCUGCUAACUAAGACCCAGUUUUGCCUGCUUUGGACAUGAGCUAAACCCCACUAGCUAAGACCCAGUUUUGCCUGCUGUGGACAUGAGCUAAAUCCCGCUAGCUAAGACCCAGUUUUGCCUACUGGGACAUGAGCUAAACCCCACUAACUAAGACCCAGUUUUGCCUGCUGGGACAUGAGCUAAACCCCGCUAACUAAGACCCAGUUUUGUCUGCUGGGACAUGAGCUAAACCCCGCUAACUAAGACCCAGUUUUGCCUGCUGGGGACAUGAGCUAAACACUGCUAACUAAGACCCAGUUUUGCCUGCUUUGGACAUGAGCUAAACCCCACUAGCUAAGACCCAGUUUUGCCUGCUGGGGACAUGAGCUAAAUCCCGCUAGCUAAGACCCAGUUUUGCCUACUGGGACAUGAGCUAAACCCCACUAACUAAGACCCAGUUUUGCCUGCUGGGACAUGAGCUAAACCCCACUAGCUAAGACCCAGUUUUGCCUGCUGGGGACAUGAGCUAAACCACUAAGACCCAUGAAGUGUUUCGUUUUUUUCCCGCACUGUUGGCUAGUUCCUCUCAGACAUGGGUGAUAUGUGGUGGUACGACGCCCACACGCCAGCAUUCCUGCCUAGAUUUACUUAUUAAUACCAGCUUUGACUUAACCCCAAUGCUCAUAUCGGGGGUGGGAGGGAGUGCUUGUGGGUGGGCGGUUAAGGUGGUCGUGAUGAUGCUUGCGUGACUGGGAGUAUGUGUGUGUGUGUGUUUGUCUGAUAAAGGCAAUUUCCUCCCCCUCUUGUCCGUUUUGAUCUUUGAGGGCUGGUUGCUCUCGGUCAAACAAUAGACGUUAAUCUGAACAAUUGCAGCCCAAAGAAACACCUUUCAUUACUAUGGCAACCUGACGGACCAUACACACCUGUCAAUCACUGCUGGGAUUGGUGGGGCAUUACCACUCACUGGCCUUUAGCAAGGUUUUGUUAACCAUAUUCUUCUCCCCAAUUUCAUGAUUACGAUCUUCUCUCAUCGCUGCAACUCCCCAACGGGCUCUGAGAGGCGAAGGUUGAGUCAUGCGUCCUCCGAAACAUGACCCAAACCAAACCGCGCUCCUUAACACCCGCUCGCUUAACCUGGAAGCCAGCUGUACCACUGUGACGGAGGAAACACCGUUCAUCUGACAACCGAAGUCAGCCUGCAGGCGCCUGGCCUGCCACGAGGAGUCGCUAGAGCGCGAUGAGCCAAGUAAAUCCCUACCGGCCAAACGCUG
ensembl:lncRNA